rnacentral:rRNA from 1 species
UGCGAGGAAGCAAUCCCAUAAACCGUGGCUCAGUUCAGAUCGUAGGCUGCAACUCGCCUACGUGAAGGAGGAAUCGCUAGUAAUCGCAGGUCAGCAUACUGCGGUGAAUACGUUCCCGGGCCUUGUACACACCGCCCGUCACACCAUGGAAGUUGGCCACGCCCGAAGUCGUUACUCCAACCCUCUGGGAGGAGGACGCCGAAGGUGGGGCUGAUGACUGGGGUGAAGUCGUAACAAGGUAGCCGUACCGGAAGGUGCGGCUGGAUCACCUCCUAA